CACGUAGGGGGGCAAGCGUUUGUCCGGAUUUAUUGGGCGUAAAGAGCUCGUAGGUGGUUCGGUAAGUCGGGUGUUAAACCCCCAGGCUCAACCUGGGGACGCCACUCGAUACUGCUGUGACUAGAGUCCGGUAGGGGAGCGUGGAAUUCCUGGUGUAGCGGGUGAAAAUGCGCAGAUAUCAGGAGGAACACCAGCGGCGAAGGCGGUUCUCUGGGCGAUUACCUGACGCUGAGGAGCGAAAGUGUGGGGAGCGAACAGG
rnacentral:rRNA from 1 species